AUUUUAUUUAAACUAAAUCCCAGACCAUGUCGAGGAGGAGCUCACAGACAAGACUCAGCUGUGCUCUUGGAAACUAGCAGGAUAUACUUCUUCCAGAAACAGGAUUCAGUGAAGUUCAGACAAGUGUAUCAUGAAAACUAAUUUCUGCAACUGCUAUUGCAUGUCUGCACAGAACAUAGCUAGCUCUUGGAAAAAGAAAAGCUACUGGAAAGAGUAACUCAGUUAUACAGUGGUAUUAUUGCAGGAUUCAACAGUAGUAAAACCAGUCAAGAAGCUUUCAGUCAAGAAGCUCAGCAUGCCUGAACAGCUCUAAGACUGAGGGUGUUUUGCUUCUUGUUGGGUACAAAUGUUAUGUCUUAAGGGAUCCUCUCUUUUUCCAUUGACAUUCAUCAUAGCUUUAUCCUGUUGUUUGUUAUAACAUGGUCCAUCUCUGCCAUAUUUAGUAUUAUAUAAAAUUGGUAGAAAUUUUUCUUUGCCCAUUGCUGAGCACAGAAAGCAGAGCAAGCCAGAAGCUAGAUUUAUUAAAUACAAAAUAUGACUUAAACCGAGCAGGUCCGUGAGGGACCAGGUGUCACGUAAUGGCGGCCGCAUGAGUGAGGAGGGGUCACGUGACGGUGGCUGCGUGAGGGAGGAGGUGUCGCGUAAUGGCGGGUGCCUGAAGGACUCGGUAUCAUGUAAUGGCGGCUGUGCCGUGCUGUCUACACACUGAAGUCCUGGAGCAUACAAUCCCAUGAUGAAGUCAGAUUCCCACAUAUCUGCAUUUGAUUCCAAAGUGGAGUGUUUUAACGAACCGAAAGAGACCAUCCCUGGCCCUGGAGCAUACCAGUCAUUGGUAACAUUCCUCAGAGGUGCUGGAGGCAUUAGGAUAACAUCUGAAAGCAAGAGAGAAACAACAACAACAACAAAAACUAACCAUGAAAAGAGCAAAGUCUUCUGGAAUGAGACACACCCACAAGAUAGAUGGCAGGGAUUUCAGAUCUACUUGGAGCAUGAUAAAAACAUAAUAUACUUAUACACUUCUGUUAAAGAAGGCAAGCAAGCCCUUUUGAAAUUAAUAAGCAUUAGCAAUAUCUCACAGUGGGAGAAAGAAGCCCAGCUGUCAACUUUUCAGUGGGAUAUCUACAGUUCAGAGCACAUCAGUCCACAGUCAGUGUGCAUUUCUAAAGAAAUUUCAUCUGCAUAG
rnacentral:lncRNA from 1 species